CUCAACAAAUAAUGACUCCGGAGGGUCUUGCAGUUCGAAGAACAACCUAUCCCUUUGACGCAAUUUGUUAUCUUCAGAAAUUUGUUCCAAUCCUCUCCUAGAUAUUUUUCAUUUGGACCCCUGUUUGAAGUGGUAAGUUUGCACUCGUAUUGUUUUUGGGUAUUCCAAUUCACUAAUGUAAUGGUGUACUGUGUGUCCGGAAGUACGUUGAUGGAGAUCAUAUUGGGGAAGUGCUAGAAAGGGAAUAGUAACAUGAUUUAGUUAAUGACUACGAUUAGAAAGAUUAAAAUAUUAAAGCGGUAGUGUAGUUGUUACUUACCAUCACUUGAGAUUUUUGUUUAUUUUUCCAAGGCUUAGUUACUUUUUUUUUGCAAAGUGAUACAGAUCUGGGUCGUAAUAGUCUUCAUUGUCUUCUGAAUCUGAGUCAAUUUCAAUGACCUCUUGCUUAACAGUUAUGUCUUCAGAAGGAGCAUUGUUGUCAUUGACCACAUCUAUCUUGAACCUAUUGAAUUUACCGGUAUAUUCGAGCUUAACUCUGUUUCGUUUGUUCCAUUGGAAUGCUGCUGCAACAUCUCUACCAGACGUGAUAAAAUUUUGUUUUUUUUAUUGUCCAAACCUUACUCUUACACUUUUUUCAUUUUGGUCUAUGAGCCAUGCAUAAGGAUGUUUCUUUAGCUUGUCGAAGUAACGUUCGAAGAAUUCAUGGCAGACACGAAUCUUCGUCUGAAAUUGUUCACAG
rnacentral:lncRNA from 1 species